rnacentral:rRNA from 1 species
AUACCGAAUGAUAAAGUGUGGCGCAUGCCACGCUUUUGAAAGAUGGUUUCGGCUAUCGCUUACAGAUGGGCCCGCGGUGCAUUAGCUAGUUGGUAGGGUAAUGGCCUACCAAGGCAACGAUGCAUAGCCGACCUGAGAGGGUGAUCGGCCACACUGGGACUGAGACACGGCCCAGACUCCUACGGGAGGCAGCAGUAGGGAAUCUUCCGCAAUGGACGAAAGUCUGACGGAGCAACGCCGCGUGUAUGAAGAAGGUUUUCGGAUCGUAAAGUACUGUUGUUAGAGAAGAACAAGGAUAAGAGUAACUGCUUGUCCCUUGACGGUAUCUAACCAGAAAGCCACGGCUAACUACGUGCCAGCAGCCGCGGUAAUACGUAGGUGGCAAGCGUUGUCCGGAUUUAUUGGGCGUAAAGCGCGCGCAGGCGGUCUUUUAAGUCUGAUGUGAAAGCCCCCGGCUUAACCGGGGAGGGUCAUUGGAAACUGGAAGACUGGAGUGCAGAAGAGGAGAGUGGAAUUCCACGUGUAGCGGUGAAAUGCGUAGAUAUGUGGAGGAACACCAGUGGCGAAGGCGACUCUCUGGUCUGUAACUGACGCUGAGGCGCGAAAGCGUGGGGAGCAAACAGG